rnacentral:lncRNA from 1 species
UCCCUCAUGGAAACACUUCAGUGGGAACCCAGUAGGCCUGAGACCAGCCCAGAGCGCGCUCUCCGGUCAGCUAGAGCUCGGCUUAACGCGGAACGCUGCCCGCCUGCCACUCCAAAACAGCCACAUAGCGUGGUGUUCGUGAUUUCUUUUCCGAGUGAGCUUUUUGCCUCACCUCGUGGACGGUGACGGUUCACCUCCCCCUUGCUUCUUGGGCUCUGAACUCAGAGGCCCAGAGCCCUGGACCGUGUCUGUGGAAUGGUUCAGCAUAUCUGGCCGAAGAAAUUGGCAACAUUUGCUACGAAUAAAACCCAAGCGGUUCCAGCAGCCAUUUUGAAUUAAGUUUCGCACCACGACAAACCCUCGUCCCUCCGCCGCACAGGCAAGACCGGGUGCCCGGGGAAGGCGCAGGGGCCAUGGGGUGGGAGAGGACCAGCGUCUCUGCCUUCCUCGGAGGCUCGGCACAAAACCCCAGGCUAAGGGGGAUCUUGCUGGCAGGGGUGCAGCAAACUUGAGGAAAGGGCCUCUGUGGUUAUAGAACGGACUGUCACAGGGCUGCCCCUACGGACCCUGGCCGCACAGCCCUCCAGUAGCAGGAGGUCUUCCCGGCUCCCCGGCAGUGCCCUCCCUUCGCAGACGCUCCCCAUAAUCCCCUAAGGAAAGUUCCUUCAAAUGAGUCUACAUUCAAGCCUUCCAUCUCGCCUGGAGUGGUAAAGCGACUGGCAUCUAAAAGGCCUAGAUGUCGCUCGUCUCAGCCCAUUUAAAAAAAAAAAAAAAAAAAAAAAAAAAAAAGACUUUUAAUGC